rnacentral:rRNA from 1 species
GACGAACGCUGGCGGCAUGCCUAAUACAUGCAAGUCGAGCGGACAGAAGGGAGCUUGCUCCUGGAAGUCAGCGGCGGACGGGUGAGUAACACGUGGGCAACCUGCCCCUUAGACUGGGAUAACUUCGGGAAACCGAAGCUAAUACCGGAUAACACUUUUUCUCUCCUGGGAGAAAGUUAAAAGAUGGCCUUUGUGCUAUCACUAAGGGAUGGGCCCGCGGCGCAUUAGCUAGUUGGUAAGGUAAUGGCUUACCAAGGCGACGAUGCGUAGCCGACCUGAGAGGGUGAUCGGCCACACUGGGACUGAGACACGGCCCAGACUCCUACGGGAGGCAGCAGUAGGGAAUCUUCCGCAAUGGACGAAAGUCUGACGGAGCAAUGCCGCGUGAGUGAGGAAGGCCUUCGGGUCGUAAAGCUCUGUUGUGAGGGAAGAACAAGUAUCGGUUGAAUAAGCCGGUACCUUGACGGUACCUCACCAGAAAGCCACGGCUAACUACGUGCCAGCCGCCGCCGUAACAC